UACAUGCUAUGGUUUCAGGCCUA
rnacentral:siRNA from 1 species